UACGGAGGGUGCAAGCGUUGUCCGGAUUUAUUGGGUUUAAAGGGUGCGUAGGCGGCCCGUUAAGUCAGUGGUGAAAGCCUCCAGCUCAACUGGAGAACUGCCAUUGAUACUGACGGGCUUGAGUACAGACGAGGUUGGCGGAAUUGAUUGAGUAGCGGUGAAAUGCAUAGAUACAAUCAAGAACUCCGAUUGCGUAGGCAGCUAACUAGGCUGUAACUGACGCUGAGGCACGAAAGCGUGGGGAGCGAACAGG
rnacentral:rRNA from 1 species